UCUGGGAUAGCUCAGUUGGUAGAGCAUGAGAUUCUUAAUCUCAGGGUUGUUCAAGACCCACCUUGCCCAAAG